rnacentral:rRNA from 1 species
UGCCAGCCGCCGCGGUAAUACGGAGGGUGCAAGCGUUGUUCGGAAUUACUGGGCGUAAAGCGCGCGUAGGCGGCUAUUUAAGUCAGAUGUGAAAGUCCACGGCUCAACCGUGGAAGUGCAUUUGAAACUGGAUAGCUUGAGUACUGGAGGGGGUGGUGGAAUUCCCGGUGUAGAGGUGAAAUUCGUAGAUAUCGGGAGGAACACCAGUGGCGAAGGCGACUUCCUGGGCCAAUACUGACGCUGAGGUGCGAAAGCGUGGGGAGCAAACAGGAUUAGAUA